rnacentral:tRNA from 1 species
AGGGAUAUAGUUUAAUGGUAGAAUUAUGGUCUCCAAAACCAUCGGUCUCAGUUCGAGUCUGAGUGUCCCUGCCA